UUUUUUUUUUUUUUUAGAGCUGCACCCUAGGCAUAUGGAACUUCCCAGGCGAGGGGUCAAAUUGGAGCUGCAGUUGCCAGCCUAUGCCACAGCCACAGCAAUGCAGGAUCCAAGCCAUGUCUGUGAUCUGCACACAGCUCACAGCAACGCCAGAUCAUUAACCCACUGAGUGAGGCCAGGGAUCGAACCUAUGUCCUCAAGAAUACUAGUCGGGUUCGUUACCCAUCCUCCAACUUUUUCUGAACUUGUAUCCUUUCCCUCCUAGUGUCCUGUUAACUUUGGUUAUCUCAGGGAUCUACCCUUUUCUCUUCUUCAUGCUCCAUCUCCCUCUCUUGGUGAGCCCAGUCACUCCCACAGCUUCAACAACCUCUGUACUUGGAUGUUUUGCAAAAGUCUCAUUCCAACCCAACACUGCCCUCCUGAGCCACAGACUUUUCUGUGCUGAAGAACAUCUCUACUUGACUAUCUUCCCAAAAUGUCACAUGCAGGGUCCAAUGAAAAGCCCUUGAACCUUUCACCACCCUUCCACUUACCUCUCGUUCCCAACCAUUCAUAAUAAACCAACUUGCAUAUCUUUGAACACAUUUAUUUGAACUUGAACUCACUCGUUUGUAUCUGUGCCCCUUCUGCCUGGAAGCCUCCUGCAUCUGGUUAACUCUCACUCAAAUUUCCAAGCACAGCUCAAAGGUCAUCGCCUCCCAGAUGUCUCCCUGCCUCCCAAAUCUGCACUGGUGCCUCUUUCCUGUCUCACAUGUUGUCCUGAACCAACUCUGUUACAACACUUGUCCCAGUUCCAUAUUUAUUAGGGAGUGAACUCCCUGACAUUAGAAACAAUAUAUUGAGCUUUGUUUCUAGAGAGCUGAUUGAGCUUAGAUCCAUUCCUGGCACAUGGUAGAUUUUCAAUUGAUGGUGGUCAAGGUAUUAAAAGAAUGAAAGAUCAAUCUAAAAAGAAACCCAGACCCUUUUAAACCAGGUUAUUUUUUUUACAACAUUUUAUUUUAAUAUAAUUGAAAGCUUAAGGAAAGUUAUAAUAUACUAUUGCAAGGAACUCCCAUAUAUCUCUUAUCCAGAUUCACAAAUUGUUUAUAUUGCUUUAUGAUUCUCUCCAUAUGUAUCUAUACUAUUUCUAAACCAUUUGGGAGUAGGUUGAAAACAUCACGCCCCUUUACCUCUAAAUAAUUUAAUGUGCUUUUUCUAAAAGAAAAGAUUUCUCUUAUAUAACCACUGUGAAGUUUUCAAAAUCAGGAAGUUUAAUAUUCAUAUAACACUCUUAUCUAAGUCAUAUUCCUAUUCAAAUUGUGCCUAAAAUUUCAUUUGGUUAUAGCUAUUUUAUAGCUACUAUUUUGCCAAUAUGUCUUUCAUAGCUAUUGUUUUCCUGAUCCAAACCAAGAUCAAAACAUAUUUUACUGUCUCCUUUAAUCUGGAGUUCCAGUUCCUGAGCCUUUUGUUUUGUUUUUGACCUUGACAUUUUUGGAGGAUACAUCCUAGUUCUUUUAUAGAGUGUCCUUUAAUUUGUGUUUGUCUGAUACUGCCUGAUUAUUAGUUUCAGGCUAUGCAUUUUUGCAAGGAAAUGUUGCUACGUUCUUCUCAGAAGAUGCUUUCAGUACCCAUACGAUGUCUAUCCCAAUAUUAGCCAUGCUAGCUUUGAGCACUUGGUUAAGGUGGUAUCUCUCAGUUUUCUCCACUAUGAAGUUACUAUUUUUCCCUUUAAAAUUAAGAACCAUCAGACACAACUUAGAAUAGAUAUACAAGGAGAUCUUGCUGAAUAGCAUUGAGAACUUUGUCUAGAUACGUUGCGACAGAACAAAGGGUGGGAGGGAAAAUGUAAUUGUAAUGUAUACAUGUAAGGAUAACCUGACCCCCUUGCUGUACAGUGGGAAAAUAAAAAAAUUAAAAAAAAAAAAGAACCAUUAGGAGGGGUGAGACACUUGGAGGCAAUGUUAAUAUCCCGUCGUAAAAUUUUAGCUACUAGUUUACUGUCCAUUGAUGAUUUUCUCAUACCACUAUCCUGUCUUUACAUGAAAGGCAUUUAGCUAUAAAGAACAGUGUUCUCUUUAUUCCUCCCACUGAUUAAUUUUUUCAUUAAUUUAUUUAUAACAGUGUGGAUUGGUUGAGUCUCACUUUAUCCAAUGAGGUAUAAUCCAUUGUAUCAUUAUUUAUUUUCAUGUUUAAGUUGUCUCUGACCUGCUCAGUUGGAGCCCCUUCCUUUAGACUGGUCCCUUUGCCCUUGUGACAUGCCCCAGUAUCUCCACACACUUCUUUACUGUCAGGCAUGAGAAGAUUUUUCUACAGGAAGCUAUUUUUCCCUUGCAUGACUCUGGAGUUAACCAGUUUUCUGAAUUUUUUUUUAAUAAGCUUUCAUGGUUUAUAUACAAUACCAUUCAAUAAUUUUGACUACAUGGUCCAAUAGCCAUAACCAAGUUAUUAUUUUCUAUCUUUUGUCCUUUUUUAGGGCCACGCCCGCAGCAUAUGGAGGUUAUGCCUAAUAUUUUAAUUGUAAAUAAAAUCCCAGUGCCAAACUGUAUUACUUAAGAUUACACUAGCUUCUCUAACAGAUAACCUCUCAAAUCUUAACACAAUAGAAUUAUAUUUCUCACUCACAUUAAUUUCCUUGGCUUGGUAGUUUUCCACAUGGUUAUUCAGGGUCCCAGGCUCUCUUUACCUGGUGGACCCUUCCUCUUCUAAGAUCUUGUAGACAUUCUAAUCCAACCAGUACAUGGGAAUGUGACUGGGAGAAGGUACCUCCACUUCUAUUCAUGUUUCAUUGUCAAGAACUAGAAACUAGUUUUCACCUGGGCCAGGAGUGCUAGAAAUCUAAGAGCUGGAAAUUCUGAAUGGGCAGCAGCCUCCCAGUACCCAACUCUACUCAAAGGAGAUGGAACACAAACCUGUGCUGAUCAACUAACUAAGCUUCACCUCCCAACUCAAAACAAUGUCCCCAAAUAUUUGUUGGAUGAUUCAAAGGGAUACUUACAUGGUUAAAAAUGCUUUAUUUAGCAAGAGCCAUUCUUAGUAUACCUGCCUAUGGACCUUGCAUUAUUUACAUGUAAUCAAUAUGUCUAUAGCACUUACAUGGUAGUCCCUAUGAAUUAAAUUCCUUACAUAAAACAUACUAAAGUCCAGUGCCUUGUGUGACCUCAAACUGUCAAUCAAAGUUUCUUGGUCAUGGUCAUGUAAGCUAACAGAAGGUGUUCAUUAAUAACUGGCCUCCAGUUGCCUAAUGGAGAAGUAUGGCCAGUAGGCUGAGCAGAUGGCUGGGUGAGUGGGGGGAGGUUGGGCUACAUGGACCAUGAACACAGUUGUCAGUGUGGUGUCAGGAGCCCUACAAAAGCCAUCUUUAUUCUUUCUAAUCUUGCAAAAAAAAUACAAUAGGUAGAGGGCCUGAAACUGAUCAGCAAAUUUAUACCAAAAACCAUUAAAUUACGGCAUGAGAAAGACUAAAGAUCCUCAAGUUUUGAUCUCCAGGGCUGCAACAACCUAACAGCAAAGUUAAUUCUCCAAAAUAUCAGCUCUUUAUAUUUCAGGUCAGACUUUGAAUAUACAGGAACAAGCUUUUCUAACUUUGUUAUCAGGAUCAUCAGCAUUUCCUAACACUUUCUCAAACACAGUCCUCUUCUCUCAUUAGGUCCUACUUCUUAAAAACUCCAUUGGUUUAAAGGAAAAAACUAUCAAAAAUAGCCCAUCUUACUUCAGUUCCUUCAGUAUUCCUUUAGAAACCUAGAAACCACAUCUUAUCUCAGUUUAUUUCCACGAUUACUGCUUUCAAAUCUCUGCUCUUGUCCAAGGAGAAAUACAUAGACAUUCCUUUGAGCAUCUUCUCCUGCUAUUGCUGAUAUAAUUAUCAUGAUUUCACCUGCAUUGGGUUCAUAGUUCACAGUUCACAAAGUACUUGCACAGGUGUUAUUUCAUUAUAUCCUUUCUAUAAUCCUAUAAAAUAGGAUAAUUUCCAUUUUACAGAUGAGGAACUAUAAUCUUAAGGAGGCGGGUUAUUUUUCCCAAACAUAUUUUAAGUAGUAGAAUGACUAGAUAUCCCAAUUUUCCCAGGACAGUCUUGGUUUAUGCUAUUGUCCUGAUGUCUUAAUAGCAGCUCCUCUUACCCUCAAAAUGUCCCAAUUUUGAGGAAAGUAAAUUGUUGUAAGUGGCCAAUUCAGGACUAGAUCUUAGUUCCUCUGACAAAAAGAGCAUGUUUUAAUGCUCUCUUCUCAACAUCAAGUUGUUCUCAGUUAUAACCAAACAUCAACAUCAAGGGAGAGAGGGACAUGACAUACUCCCUCCCUCCUUCUGGGUUGCUAGAAUUUUAUAGAGCAGAAUCUUUAGUCAGAGAAGAAUAGAACCAUGACUCUCCCUUUCCAAGAAUUGGGCUAAAGUAAGCAAAUUGGGAUCAAGAAAGAAGUUGCUCUUUCUUUAACCGCAAGGUAAACUCCCACAUUCAUCCUGAGUUUGGAAAUCACGUCAAUUCAAUUUAUAGCUAAACUGAAAGAAAACCCAGAGAUUCUUCUCCAGACUCAUGAAUCCAUUGCAAUUAUUCAACCCAGGUCUUGUUUCUGCAGAACUACACAACUGCUAAUCUUAUACCACUUGUAUCACUACUGAGAAGGUCCACUAGUGACACAAUUUCUAUAUUGUUCCUCAUACCAUUGGGUAAGGGCAGAAUGUGGUAUAUUUUUCUUUCCCCAAUCAGUUAGUCAUAAUAGCCAAUUUAAUGUCAUUUAAUAAUCAAGUUAUUUGCUGCCAUAUACAAGAAAGAAUGUAGCUACCUGAGAAGAAAUAUGAAAAUCAAACUAUAAUGAUCUGAAAGCUGAACCCAGGCAGGGAUGGGACCAAACAGAAGGAAUGUGCUCUACCUUGUAACAUGUUCUCCUUCCAGUUCUUCAUGCUCAUCCCUGGCUAAAUGCCCCAGUGUUCAAUUCCCCUCUCCAUGUGCACACCUUCAGGAGGAAGUGGCUCCCCAUGAAGCAGGGAGGGAGAGCAUCUUAAACAAAUGGCAAUAAAAAGCCACUUCACAAAGCCAGAAUAGACUUUUGUCUGGAGGAAAUGGCAGCACUGGAGUUUUUAUGAAAAGUACCUUUGUUCCAAUAGUUUUCAAGAACAAAAAUGUUAUCUUCACACUUUUGUCAUUAUAUUUAUGAACUGUAAAUCCUCACUUGAUGGAAACAUUCCAGGAUUUCAAACUCCUAAAUCAACCUGGUAAAUCUCCAACUUCAGAGUUCAAUUUAAGAAGAACCCCUUCAAAGAUACUGACAUUUUAUAGGGAACUUCAGGAAAAACAAACAAUGAGAGUUUUCAAUGUACAUUUUUUUGUUACCCUACAGGCUUGUCAUGGGAGACAGCUAACAUGUAGAAAGAAUAAAGACUGCUGCUGAGAUUGCAUUUUCUGAGCCCCAGGUCAAUAUGACUUAAACAAUAACAGUAAAAUGGUCUCUUGAGAAAUUUGGUCUGGGGCCCCUAACAAACCACCAUUGUUUCCUUGGAGGACUAUUUUACUUUUAUAUCAGAGUAUCAUGAUGUUGGAUAUACAAGUAAACUUUUGAAAGGGAGAAAAAAAAAUGACUCUUUAGAAAAUCCAUCUGCAAUUGCAAAGCACUUUAUAAAUAUUGUAAGCUUGAGGUUUCACCUUCUCUCUUACAAUAUUUCCCAUUCUUUGCUGGACACAGUCCUGCUAGAGUGGUUGGAUCGCCGCAAACUGUAUGCCAACCUCUACUAAUGACGCCAUUUCAAUACACCCAGCAUCACCAAUGUUUAGCCAGCUGGUAGUCCACACCAGCCAAUCCAAAUAUUUCAUUGUUGGAUGAAAUAGUUUCACAGGCAACCACAGCUCUUGGGCAUGUGAAUUUUAUUAAGACUAAUUCCACAGACUAGGACAAAACAGAGCACAGAGCAGUUCGCCCUGAGUUGCUGAGUGAGACUCAUUGCAAACAAUUUUUACCCAUUCACUGAACAGUGUCCAAAAAAUUAUGGUCCUCAUGGAAUUUUGAGUCAUGGAGGUAUGUAGAAGAGCUUAGGGUCUUGAGAGCCAGUAGAAACUAUGUUUUUGUCUGAUAAUGGGAAGGCCUUUGUUCAUGAACUACUUAACAGAGGUGGAGGCAAAAGUCAGUUAAUCCCUACCCCCAAAUAAAAAGGAUAUGUAGACAUGAUAUCAUGAAAUGUCCUUCUCUUUCCAAUGUACAGUGGGGGCUGUGCCAAGCAGUAAUGCUCUAUUUCGGGAAGUCUAUGCCAAGCUUAUUUCGUGGUGUUAUCAGCAGGGGUCCUAUGCUCAUUCCUAUGAGGGCCAUUUUCUGCACUCCUUUGAAUGAAAGACUCCCCUUUCAUGUGCCACUAUGGAAACACAUCAUUCCCCACACUUGUGCUUCUCCACACUGUCAUAAUUGCUUUGGGGAAUGUCUUUAUCAGCCACUAGGGACUUGGUGCUGGAAAAAGAAUUCCAGGGAUGUCCUUAUAUCUACUUACC
rnacentral:lncRNA from 1 species